rnacentral:rRNA from 1 species
AGAGUUCGAUUAGCCAUGUCGUCGAGGGUGCUUCUUCUUCGGAAGAAGUAACCCGGCGGACGGCUCAGUAACACGUGGAUAACUUGCCCUUGGGUCUGGGAUAACCCCUGAGAAAUUGGGGACAAUACCGGAUAGGGCAUCGAUAGCUGGAAUGCGCGAUGUCCAAAAGCUGAGGCGCCCAAGGAUAGGUCUGCGGCCGAUUAGGUUGUUGUUGAUGUAAUGGAUCAACAAGCCUGCAAUCGGUACGGGUUGUGAGAGCAAGAGCCCGGAGAUGGGUUCUGAGAAAAGAACCCAGGUCCUACGGGACGCAUCAGGCGCGAAAACUUUACAAUGUGCGAAAGCACGAUAAGGGAACUCUGAGUGCCUCCUAUGGAGGCUGUUCAGGUGUCUAAAAAGCACUUGAAGUAAGGGCUGGGUAAGACCGGUGCCAGCCGCCGCGGUAACACCGGCAGCCCAAGUGGUAGCCACGAUUAUUGGGUCUAAAGCGUCCGUAGCCGGCCAGGUAAGUUCUUUGGGAAAUUUAACCGCUCAACGGUUAAGCUUUCAGGGAAUACUGCUUGGCUUGGGACCGGGAGAGGUCAGAGGUACUUCAAGGGUAGGGGUGAAAUCCGUUAAUCCUUGAGGGACCACCAGUAGCGAAGGCGUCUGACCAGACCGGGUCCGACGGUGAGGUACGAAGGCUAGGGUCGCGAACCGGAUUAGAUACCCGGGUAGUCCUAGCUGUAAACGAUGCGGGCCAGGUGUUGGCAUUACUGCGAGUGAUGUCAGUGCCGAAGGGAAGCCGUUAAGCCCGCCAUCUGGGGAGGUACGGUCGCA